rfam:Oryctolagus cuniculus chromosome 11, whole genome shotgun sequence.
CUUUCCAAAGUAUCUGAGACCAACAUGAAAGGAGGGUCAUUUUCCACCUCACCCUUCCAGCACUCCAGAAGAGAGAAGGCUUCUGAGAGGUACAGGAGUAGAGAGAAGAGGGGACAAAGUGGCUGCUUCUAGCAUGCAGGCAGAGGAGUCCAUGUUGGA